GAACAUGCAGUGGUAAAUGUUAGCCCACAAGGAAACCAAGUAGAACAGCAGAGAUGACAGCAAAGGAAAAAAAAAAGCACAGUAGAGGUAUAGUGUGUGGAUUCAAUUCCUAUGCUGAAGGCAAAGAGAAAUGACAUACAAGAGUGGAACGUUAAUGUAUAAAACAAGAGGGAAGAUUUUUAGGCAAUAAGGGAAACAGACACAGGCACACAAAGGAAAGUUGGAUUGACAGGAGGAAAACAGAACGAGGCAGCAAUCUACAGCAUCAGUGGAGGAAAACGAAGUACAAGAUAAGGGAAAGAGUAGAACCCUGGAAAAGAGAAAUUUUUUAAGUUUACUACCAAAAACAGAAAAUGGAAGGAGAUGUUAUGAAAACACACAGAGGAAGUACCUAGUCUAAAGGAUGCCACGUAUGAAGCCUCAAAUUAGCUUUAAAUGGAAAGUUCAGAUGAAUAAAUAUGACUGCACCGCCAACGAAAACAGAAGAAACGUAAGUGUAACUGACCAAUGCAAAUGUGUAAUGGACGCCAGCAACACAAAGUAGUUAAGAUUAUACUCAAAUUUCCCAAUAGUGUUUACCGGGAUCCUGUAUCAGUAAUACUAAUGUUAUAACAACACCAUUUGCAGUAUUGCCUGUAUCACACGGAGGAUACUUUUUUGUGUUAGUUACUGAUCGCUGAAGAGGAUUGAGCAACUUGUUACAAUUGUCUUCUAAGAACUUUCAAGUCAUUUACUUUCUCUAUAGUUUCAUGAUCAGUAUCUUCAUAUAACGACUCGUAAUGCGGAAUCAAGUGAAGCAAAUAAAACCAAAACUACACAAACCGACUACUAUCACAGGAGCCCUAUGCCUCAUUUGGUCAAAGGAAAGCAGGAAGGAAUCAGUAGUGGUCUUCUUUAAAGAGCUUUAAGUGGUAAUACACUAAGUAAAACACGAAUCAGGAUAGCUAGAUCUUAAGCCAGCAUUCCGCUGUACUGUACGAGUUCACUAAGUAGUUCUUUGUACCACUCAGUCGAUAGGCAAUGGAAGUGAUGGAGCAGGACGUAUCGAUUUGGCGUCGAGGUGGCUGAAAUUCGGCAAUAGGUAUUAAACUUUCUGAAGUCACCUUUUAGGUGACUUCAGCGAAUAUAUAAACUUUAGUUUCAGAGCUCCUACAUGAUCGGUAAGUAGAACUAGAGCAACUGAAAAUGAGUGCUCAUCAUUUACAUCGUGUGCAAAAAGAAAUGGCGGGGCGGAUCCUGGGUAUCAAACUCAGGGACGGGGUUAACGAGAGAGGAAUGCCGAUAAAAGACACCCUGAAAAUAGUUACGGGGCUGAAUGGCAAAUGGUGUGGACUUUAGUGCUGUACGAUCCCAGCAGGUCGAGCAAUGAGGUGGUUCAUUUGACACACGAAAGAGGGACUGGAAGACACCGGAAGAGAUUUCUCAGUGAGAAAUGUUGGAACGUUGCUGACGUGAUAGCACAGAUGUGACGUGGAAGAAUUUGGAAGAGGCCGCCAUCAGCUGUCGAUAAAUAAUGCUCUAAGAACAAAAACGUAGGUGAACAGAGAACCAGGACUGUUUGCGGUGAUCAGAUCGCUUGGACACUGACUUCCUCAUGAAAGAUGACGGCCAGCUGGUGCCAGAAUUCUGGGACGAGGAAUGCGAUUCCGGCGCCAAGUGCGAUAUCUGCGGGUUGACUGAGAAUGUUGCGUAAUUGGCACGCGUCGGCUGUGGUCGCUUCGGCGUGUUCUGCUGCUGAGGGGUCGGGGGUUAUCUCGGCGCCAAUUCUGCCAUGCGCCGCUCAGGUCCCCAACAUGGCCAACUCCGGAGCAUCGCUCCAACUUGAUGACCCUCUUCGACCGCCGCAGACAAGUCAAUGCUCCAGGAAAAGCUGAACUGCCUCUCCGAUUAUUUUUCACAGACGCAACCGGACCACUGUAGGCAGUAGCAAGAACGAUUAGGUUUUUUCCUUUCACCGCUGAAUAGUACGGUCACUUAAGUGCAGCUUGGUUGCUCAGGUGACUGAAUAACACGAGGGGCGUUCAAUAAGUAAAGCAACAUUUUUUUCUCUACCAGUAACCAUGAAGUUUGAAGGAGGGGGGGGGGGGGGGGGAGGGAUGCUAUACGUUGCCUUCAAAAUAGCGUCUGCAAUGGAGGUCCGAUCCAAGCAGACGUGUCUAUGUUUUUUGGCGGUAAACCAAAACAUCGCAGAUAUUCAUAGGCGCUUGCAGAACGUCCACGGGGACCUGACAGUGAACAAAAGUAAGGCGAGUCGUUGAGCAAGGUGUCUCAUCAUCGCAACAAGGUCGUGCAAUCCUGCUGUGAAUCCUGCUGUUUUGGAAAGUGCUGACACUCAGGGAAGAUCGACGGAUCACGAACACCUCGUUGCUGAAACUGACAUCUCUGCUGGCAGUGCUCCCACACACGUCCGCCAAUUGCGGCACUAAAAGACUUGUGGCCGCAUGGUUCCUCGGCGCCUACCAGGAGAGCGUAAAGACCAACGAAGAACCAUCAGAAUGAAGAAUGCACUCCACGGCACCAGUACGUGGAUGGUGGGCAGGUUAUUGAUGCAGAAAGACGUUGGAACCGACGUCGACCAGUAGUGUGGUUCCAUAUGGGCAUACCGGCCCUCCUUUUAAGACGGCGUAUUGAACGGAGAUUACGUUGAAAAAGAUGGUUUUGUAGCCAGAACAUCGGGGAAUAAUACGGUGUAUUUUAACCCUGAGUAAAACCUAGUUGCUUUCAGAAAGAAAAAUUUAUUUAUUGAACGCCUUUCGUAUUAAUAAUGUAGGUUCUGGCUUGAAUUCACAUUGGUCAGAGGUUUGCGGGUCAGUAUGUGGAGCAAGAAUGAAUUCGCAAAUUGCGAUUAUGGUUUAGCGUCUGCUGCAGAAUAUUGCAGAGCAAAUUAACGUAUCUGCCGAGCCGGGACUAACCCGGAUUUGUCCCUUGUUGCGAGCGGUCAGUGUAGCCACUUCGGCUAUCCGUGCAAGAUUCCAGGACGGCCCAGAUCUCAAUUUUUCCUGAUGUGUCUACAUUCCCUAGAUCGCGCACUAUAUUUCCGCAGUUCUCGCACGGGUUGACACUUUUUUCAUAUCUUAUUGCCGUCUAACGGCAUAAAAUACUGUAAGCACGUGCAAAAGGGCAUCGCUUUGGACUACAACGGCUGAUUCUUAUUAACUUCCAAAAACCACUUAAGCGACGUAGAUGUGAUCGCAAAUGUCGGGAAACACCCCAUACAUUUUGAUCCUGAAGGUAUACUUCAAAUCCAGCACAUGUUGCCACUUACGUCUACCGCAGAAUGGCGAAAUUUCAAGUAUGUCAUUUCCAUUUUUUUAACCACUCCUCCGACCUUAGCUGCACCCUCCACGCACUGCAGGUUAAACGUCCGAUUGGCUAUAGGUGCACUGUGGCAAAUUCGUGACUAGUCGGAAAGAACCACAUACAUCCUGUCACCCACUGCCCUAUAUCAGUGUUUUGCCCACUGCUGCUUUGCUUUGUGUGUCUUAAGCAAUAGGGUUUUACGUGGUAACCAUCUAUAGAUCUCAAUUUUAUGCAGCCCCCUUUACAGUAUUCGCUCAGGAACUGGACGAGAUGAACUUGAAUUCACCUACAGUGAGGAUUUACUGGGUUUGUCGAUGACAAGAUGUGAUAAUUGUCUUCAGCCCCUGCUGGUUGCUACCUCUUUACAAGCACUGUUUGUAUCAACAAAUCGGGAGACUUCAUUUACAGUGUCAUGUGCACACCCAAAGAUUACCGGUGCUUUCUGCGAUUAUGUCUCCAUGGCGAUUCAGCACACUGUGCUGAUUCCGUGUAGCCGACUAAUACGUACACACAUACACCAUUUCACUGCCAUGGUAGUCAGGGGUACAGCGACCAGUGUGCUCUUUAACGAAGCGACAAAUCUUGUUUGUUGAGCGUACUAAGCAUCUUCAAGGACAACGGUACAUUUAAGGCCGAAGUGUAAAUCGUAAUCUCAGUGUUGCUUCGACCCGAGCAUGUGUCA